UUAAGCAAAAUUAGGUAAAAAGCUAUUGUUGUGGUCGAAAAUUGGGGCUGCCAUUACAUUUUCUCAGCAAACAAGUGAAGAAAAAAAAAUCUAAAAAUAUAAUUAAUAAAUAAUUUAAUUUUAAAAAUAAACUAAUUUUUUUAUAAAUUAAAAAUUAAAAAUUAAAAAUAUGAAGCAUAUGUUUCCAAAACUAAUACAACAAUUUAUUUUAAAAAGUGAGGAUACACAAGCUUUAGGCGCCAAAUGAAAUUGUAAGAAGGCACCAAAUGAAAUUUCUUUCUAAUCAUGGACUACCUCUCAGAAAUUCAAUACACCAAAAGUAUGAGAUUUAAAAGGGCAAAAUACUCUCUCCCUCUCUCUUCUUUCUUUCACUCUCUCGCUUGUCUCUGCCACUCAUAGACGAGCCACCUCUGGCCUCCGACCAGAGGCACACGACCCACCAUGGGCUUCAGAGUUUGUUGAAACCUCUCUCCCUGUGACCCCGUCACCUGACGCGCCGGAGAUCGCCGCAGGAGGAGCUCGGAAGUCGCACCGCAGUUGUGGGUUUCGAAGCUUUUUCGGACCUCCACCGUCGUCCAAACUAGAUUCCAAGGGAGUGGUUGUGCUCCGGACAUCGAGAGGAUGAAAAGCCACCAAAGAAUCUGGGUAAUUAUGAAAGCUCUUAAAUCUGAAGACGUCAAAUCGCAAGCUCGGGUUGGAACUUGUUGGUGAAAGCCUCAUCUUUUUUCUUUGUUUUGUUUGCAAAAAGAUUCUCCUAUAUUGCAAUAUGCUACCUUGCAUUGGUGCAUCAGUUGAAUAAAAUUAAUGUUGAGAAGGCUGUGAAGUAUAUAGUUAGUUGCAAAAACAUGGAUAGUUAGUUGCUA